rnacentral:rRNA from 8 species
GUGCUUGGGCGAGAGUAGUACUAGGAUGGGUGACCCCCUGGGAAGUCCUCGUGUUGCACCCC